UGGUUGUCCAGAUCGUUGUGGCCUUA
rnacentral:piRNA from 1 species